rnacentral:misc_RNA from 1 species
GAGAAAGAGAGAGAGAGAGAGAGGCCUCCAGCCUGUGGUUUUAUAUGCUAGUUGUGGUCUAUUGAAAAAAAAGGUGGAUACUAAAAAUUCAGCCACGCAGAAAAUUCUGGUUAAGCGAUGACUCUCGAUUGCUCUCUGCCCUCUGCUUUCCAUUUGGUAGGCCUACAAAUAUAUUGAGUCAGACGGAUAAUAAUUCACUACACUUUCAUUGAGAGAGAGAGAAAUAUAUGGAAACGCUAGGAACCGCUAAAGAGAAGGGAAGGGAAUCUAAAGAGAACGAAGAAGAAGAAGAUUUAAGAACAAUAAAGAUUUCAUUUCUUUCUUUUUUUUCCCCUUCAAUUUUCCGUCUAAUUGACUUUAAGAUUUUUCCUUUUUUUUUUUCUGGGUUUGAUCGAUUGAUGGAUUUUAGGCUGGCCAGUGCUUGCAUCAGUUUAUUUCUUUGGGUUUAUAGGAUUGCAGGUUUCACUGGUGCGUCUUGUGAUUGCUUGUUCAUUUUUGUAGGUUCUGUUUGUUUAUUGGAGUUGAAAUGUUGCAACUUUUGUUAAUUGUAUAAGAAAAUCGAGGUGGAAAAUGGAAUCACAAAAUGGGUUUUAUGGCUUUUUUUUAAUUAGUCUACACUUUCAACUGAAAACCAUUAUUUUUUUGUAGGCUCAGCUAAGUGCAGGUUUAGUUUCAUCAGGGCGUUAAUGAUGCUUCAAAAAGUAUAUAUGUUUCUCAUUUUCUUAGCUUUUGGUUCCUGCAAUUUUCGUUCAUUUCUUUCACUUGUUGAUUGUAUAGGAAGAGUGGGUUGGAUUCUACUGUAUCUGUCCAUACUUCUAGCAAAAUCCUCACGAAGAAUUUGUAUUACUUUAAGAACUCUGCGUGGCUGAUAGAGCAAUUUUUAGUUGUGAAUCUAAUUUCUGCAGUUUUGACUCAUUAACCUUACACCUGAGUAUUUACAAGGGUUCUGCAGACGUAAUUUUGAUGCUUUUGUAUAAUUUUAAUAUAGAACUGAUAUAGAUUUGUAUGCCGUUCCAGGGUAAUGCAUCGCUUUCUUCCAGUUCAGCUUGGAUAUCUGGUAUGUUGUAGUUUAUCGACACAAUCAGAUGGGAAAACUGUAGUUAAAUUGGAGUUGCAAUAGAUUGGUGGAUUUUAGCAGCCUCUGCCUGUAAAGAUUCCAAGUUUAAUAUUCUUCAUUGCACUGAAAAUCCGAAACUUGAAUCCAAUCGGUUCAUUGCAAAUAUGAUUGUGGAUUCUGGUGUUUUUUUUAUUGAUUGGGAUUUAGUAAUUAAGUGACAGAGAGCAUACGAGUGGAUAAGGUAACAGACAGAGGAUUCCUCUUUAAAAAGGAUGAUAUACUAAACUCUAGGGAUGGGCUUGCCUCAAGUAUCCUCUGGCGGCAUUGCUGAGGAAGUGGCAGUAUCUCUGAGCACAUUGGUGCCAACUCCACCCCGGAUUGUUGGUGUAAGCAGCUGUGAUUUGAGUGGGAUGCGGGGAGGAAAUCUUGGUAAUAGAAUGCAGAUGGAUUUUCAGUACUUUUCUUUUGGAGAUAUCCAAAAUAAAACCAUUGCGGAUCAUAAGAAUGGUUGGUUAACUCAUAAAAGUGGAGAGGAUAUUCAGACACUUAUUCCUAGGAUUGUGGGUUUUGAAUCAAGGGGUUUGAAUUCUCCUUUUAAUUUAUUUAAUGAAAACCAAUCUGUGUGUACGGCAGUUAGUAGUACUGAUGAUGCAUUUGAGUCUACUGGGUCGCUAGUCAGGAAGCGGUUGCUAUCUCCCUUGAGUGGAAUGCUUCACCCAGAGCAAUUUAAUGGUAAUUCCCUAGACAUUGGUGACGGCACUUACAAGACUAACUUCUGGAGUGGCAAAGACAAUUAUAAAGUUUCUGUAUCACAAGAGCAUAAGAAAGCUCAUAUUGGUGGUUCUAAUUAUUUCGAUUCUCCAAACUUGUGUACAACUGAUCUUCCAGAGUGGAAGAAUUCACAGGAUGAUAACUAUGGGGCAAAUUCACAGGAUGAUAACUAUGGGGCAAACUCCAUUUUCUUUUUUGAUGGUCCUGUGCUUGAGAACAAAGAGCUGACUUCUUACAAUCAAGUUGUUUCACCACCUGGACUUAAUAAUCCUGAAGAAACAACAAAGGUAAGGUCCCAAACUGGGGCAAUUGCAAUAUCUGUGAAAAAGGCAGUAUCAUCCUCCUUGUCAUUGUCUCCUCUUGGUCCAAAACUUCCUGAAAGAAUAAAUUCUGCAGGAUUGUGCAGCAACGUCUCAAAAAAGUUAAAUGAUGAUGAAUACUUGACCUUCAAGGACAUAGAACAGUCACUUGAUGGAACUUUCCCUGGCAUUUUAUCUUCCAAGAAGCGUGAAGACUCUAGGAUGCUGCAUGAAUCAUUGCAAGAUUUUGAUAAUUUGCAAAAGUUAGAUGUUCUUACUUCAGAGAUUACUACUGAUGUGUUGCAAUCAUGGAAUGAGGAUUCAAACCUUACUCCUCCACGUGUCAAAUUGAGUAAAACUCUUAGUGGAUUGCCCAUUAGAAGGUCCUUGGUUGGUUCAUUUGAG